rnacentral:tRNA from 1 species
GCCUGGGUGGCUCAGUCGGUUGAGCGUCUGACUUCAGCUCAGGUCAUGAUCUCACAGCUUGUGGGUUUGAGCCCCACGUCGGGCU